rnacentral:rRNA from 1 species
GAUGAACGCUGGCGGCGUGCCUAAUACAUGCAAGUCGAGCGAAUGGAUUAAGAGCUUGCUCUUAUGAAGUUAGCGGCGGACGGGUGAGUAACACGUGGGUAACCUGCCCAUAAGACUGGGAUAACUCCGGGAAACCGGGGCUAAUACCGGAUAACAUUUUGAACCGCAUGGUUCGAAAUUGAAAGGCGGCUUCGGCUGUCACUUAUGGAUGGACCCGCGUCGCAUUAGCUAGUUGGUGAGGUAACGGCUCACCAAGGCAACGAUGCGUAGCCGACCUGAGAGGGUGAUGGGCCACACUGGGACUGAGACACGGCCCAGACUCCUACGGGAGGCAGCCGUAGGGAAUCUUCCGCAAUGGACGAAAGUCUGACGGAGCCACGCCGCGUGAGUGAUGAAGGCUUUCGGGUCGUAAAACUCUGUUGUUAGGGAAGAACAAGUGCUAGUUGAAUAAGCUGGCACCUUGACGGUACCUAACCAGAAAGCCACGGCUAACUACGUGCCAGCCGCCGCCGUAA